rnacentral:rRNA from 1 species
GAUGAACGCUGGCGGCGUGCCUAAUACAUGCAAGUCGAGCGAACGGACGAGAAGCUUGCUUCUCUGAUGUUAGCGGCGGACGGGUGAAUAACACGUGGAUAACCUACCUAUAAGACUGGGAUAACUUCGGGAAACCGGAGCUAAUACCGGAUAAUAUUUUGAACCGCAUGGUUCAAAAGUGAAAGACGGUCUUGCUGUCACUUAUAGAUGGAUCCGCGCUGCAUUAGCUAGUUGGUAAGGUAACGGCUUACCAAGGCAACGAUGCAUAGCCGACCUGAGAGGGUGAUCGGCCACACUGGAACUGAGACACGGUCCAGACUCCUACGGGAGGCAGCAGUAGGGAAACUUCCGCAAUGGGCGAAAGCCUGACGGAGCAACGCCGCGUGAGUGAUGAAGGUCUUCGGAUCGUAAAACUCUGUUAUUAGGGAAGAACAUAUGUGUAAGUAACUGUGCACAUCUUGACGGUACCUAAUCAGAAAGCCACGGCUAACUACGUG